UUUUGUACAUGUGCAGUGCAUACUGUUUUUAAUUAAACAAUUAAUUAUCUUUUUGAAAGUAUUCUUAUGCUUCUUCUGAUUAAAAGCAAUUUGUGGAAUCAAGGUUCAAGACUGAUUUUUCAACACUUUCUCAGGACACAUUAGGCAACAUGAGGUAGACACAAGUUCAACUAAACUACAAACUGACAGCCAGCAAUCUGAACAAGCUACACCACACAUUGAAUGAUCUCAACUACUGUUAUAUGCAAUGGCCUUUCUGUCUUCAUGUGUGGAGGAUUUCACUGAAUCAAGAAUUCAAGUGGGGGAGGAAGAUUUUCAAAAUGCACUGCAUGAGGAGAUUAACGUCAAUUCUGCAAGGAUUUUCUGAACAGUGAAACAUCAUCAACCCAUGGUGCAAGAUUCUACGCCUAGCUGGAGGAGACCAACAUUGCAGCAAUGACUCUGAACAAUUUGGGCACGAGUUAAACCCAAACUCACUGUUUGCUUUGAGAUGCAGCUCCAAUGCUACAUCUUUGAACAGUGAAACGCUAUCAACCCAUGGUGCAAGAUUCUACGCCAAGCUGGAGGAGACCAACAUUGCAGCAAUGACUCUGUGAACAAUUUGGACAUGAAUAAACUCAAACUCACUUUUGGCUUUGAGAUGCAGCUCUAAUGCUACAUCUUUGAACAGUGAAACGCUAUCAACCCAUGGUGCAAGAUUCUACGCCAAGCUGGAGGAGACCAACAAUGCAGCAAUGACUCUGUGAACAAUUUGAACUUGAAUUAAACCCAAACUCACUGUUGGCUUUGAGAUGCAGCUCUAAUGCUACAUUUCAAAGCCUGGAUUAAAAACAGAUUUCCUGAAGACUCUUUGAACUCUUGAGAUACAAAUGAGAUGAGAAGGAUGCAUCACUGCAAAGACACUAUGUGUAUGCAAGGCUAGAGACAUUUCUUAACCCACCUUCAAUGUGCACUCUUUGGAACCUCAAUGUGAUCAACCUACAAGGAGCAGAUCGUUUGUAUAGUAUCUAGAAACUAAUGAAGUAAUGUCAAUGUCCAAUAGUAACAAUAGUUACAGUGGACAUUGUACAAAUGGCAGUUUGAUUAUCGUCACCGUUUUCAAGAAUAGACACAUUUGAAAAAAAAAUCAAAUAAAGAAAAUGCAAAUUAUUUUGUGUUUGUGACAUCAACAUUUUCUCAACCUGUUUAAUUUCUUAGGUUAGAACACAUAUUAGCACACAGAUAAAAUCACCAGAGUUAAUUUUGAGUUCGUUUUUUUAACAUGAAAUCUUCAAUAUCAACCCACAAAAGUGCUUGAUUUUAAAAAAGAACGAUCUGUGUAACCUGUGUGACAAAUUUUCUUGAAGAGAAAAUCUUGCCUCGUCAUCCUAGUAAACUUAUAAAUUUUCAAUUUCAAAUGUUUCAUCAAAACAUUUAGUGACUAAAACAGUCACCAAACUAAUGGUUUCUUUAACAUCAAAUUCAAUUUUCUCCAGACAUAGUUUCGCUGCAGGGGCUAAAGUGCUUUUUGUAAAAAAUAAAACGGUGACGAUAUCUUUGACAAAUAUAUAUUAAAGUAAAACUGUAGCAUUAAGGUAUAGUCAUCUGUUCAUGCAUGAACAUAAAUACAGGAUUAGUGUAGUACAAUAGCUUGAACUAGGAUAAAUUGCACUACUAUUUAUUUUAAAAAGUCAUAUUCCUGAAACAAAACAGGUUGCACUAAAAGGCAUCAGGGACGCUAAAUGGAAACAUGUAGGACUACAACCGAAUAGCUAUUACAAAAUAGGUUUUCAAUAGUUUCUCCUUAAACCACCAAGAGUGCUAAAUGAGAACGGACUAUCAAACUAAAGUAAUUAGAAUUAGAAUUUCAACAGCUUUUCACAUAAACCCUUUACUCAAUGGAGUAGGACUUAAACAGAAAAUAUAUUUUUAAACAGUUUCUACAUAAACCACCAAAAAUGCUAAGUUGGAUAGGACUAAAACAAAGUUAUCUCUAAAUAGUAUGUCAACCUUUUCUCCUUAAUCCAACAAAAGUGCUAAAAUGUGAUUGGGCUAAAACAACAUUGUAUUUCUGGCCUGGCACUACAGCUGGCUAUUAAACUUGUGGGUGAGAAUAGGGAACAGAUGUAUAACAAUACUUUAUCAACUCUCCCUAACAUCAAAUGUACUUUUUUUCAGCAAACAAGAAACAAUAAGUGACACUAAGUCAAUGUUAAUUCACAUUUCAAAUUUUCAAAAUUAACAAUGACAGAAACUCUUCUAGAAAUGUCAAAACUGUACAAUAUCCCAAACCCUGCUUUUUCUCACAGCCAACACUUUUCCUAAAAGAGAUUGAAUUCAUUUGAGUCAUAUCCAUCAGUUUUACUAAAUUCUUACGCCAUGCAAAGUUUUAAAUCAUGACUUGAAAGACAUACAAUAGGAUAGUACAGAAGUUACUUGUCAAUAAUGUUGUUGGAUUUGACCUUAAAAACUAAGUGUAUCUCAGUUAAUUUAGCACAGAGGAAUUCAUGCAUGAACAGAGAAGUAAUAGUAAAUAGUACUUGAAAAGUCUCUCACAGAAACCCAUACUUUUAGAAAUGAAGUAACUAAAACCAAAAAGGCAAUGUCAAGCAAAAAUUUGACCACCAAAUUAUUCUGGUAACAUGUUGGAACACUGGGUGUUAACAGAGUAUUUGAAUACUAUGUCCAAAACUAACAAGCAAUCAGAAGUCCAUCGGAUUCAGCUUUUUAAUUAGCGUUGUGGUGUAUCAGCAAAUUGUUUUUUUCGUAACAUAUUCAAACUUCAUAAGACAUCAAAACAAAAGUUUAAGCUUUUUGUGAGAGGCUUUUCUGUCUUAAACGUUGUAAGCUAUUUUAAUUAGUAAGUUAGAGAGUGGAGGGUUAGUCUAUAAGGUCUGUUGGUAAGAUGGGUACAAGAUUGGUCGUUACUACUUCUGAACUAAAAAUCGUCAGACUCAAAAAGUCAAACAUUUGAUGGUACAACACAUUGGCUGGCACAGCUGAUGGAGUUGUUGUCCCUUCUACACUUUUUUCUCCACUUUAACAAAUACUCACAAAAAGACCUCGCAAAAUACAAAACAAAAAUU